UGUUCUGUGGCGGAGUUGGUUAACGCGCCCUGUCUAGCGAACUUGGGGAGACGUGGGUUCAAACUCCACCAGAACUA
rnacentral:tRNA from 1 species